rnacentral:rRNA from 1 species
UACGGAGGGUGCAAGCGUUAUUCGGAUUUACUGGGCGUAAAGCGCGUGUAGGCGGUUUGGUAAGUUUGGUGUGAAAUCCCCGGACUUAAUUCGGGAAGUGCAUUGAAUACUGCCAGACUAGAGUACAGGAGAGGAGAGUGGAAUUCCUGGUGUAGAGGUGAAAUUCGUAGAUAUCAGGAGGAACAACAGAGGCGAAGGCGACUCUCUGGACUGUCACUGACGCUAAGGCGCGAAAGCGUGGGGAGCAAACAGG